rfam:Potato spindle tuber viroid isolate M31/M5a, complete genome.
GGCCGACAGGAGUAAUUCCCGCCGAAACAGGGUUUUCACCCUUCCUUUCUUCGGGUGUCCUUCCUCGCGCCCGCAGGAC